rnacentral:miRNA from 1 species
UGUGUGUGUGUCUCUGUAUGUAUGUGUCUGUAUCGUACAGACACAUACAUACAGAGACACACACACAUA